rnacentral:lncRNA from 12 species
GGCAAAUGUGCUUCUCUUCUUGUGUCUGAGACUCAGAAAGCCCUGAAGAGUCAACUUGGCUUCUAGGUGUUGUUAGAUGUCAGACUGGAGAGGAAGCCUAAAAUGAGAAGGCUGAAGAAAGUAACAUCAAAGUUGAAGACAAACCUCACAAACCCAUCUAAAAUGUGAAUAGCUCCACUAUAUAGAAAAUGCACUGCAUCUCUUGGUGAGGACCAGUAUAGAAUAACUGUGCACUGGUACAGGACAAGAGAAGUGGAGAAUGGUUUGAGUAUACCUUUUAAUUGCAAUUUAUAUCCUCUAGUUCACGGGUUGAAAGGGACAGAGGCUUCUUUAUGCUACUUGUAACACUGUGAGGAUGGCUGACUACUCCAAACUGAAGUGGAAAACUGAAAGAAACCCCACAAACUUUGUAAUUAGGGUGGCAGGUACUCAACCCAUAUCCUGUCAUGGAUCCUGGGCAGAGUGGAGUCAGGAUACAGCUGGGAGCAGAUGCUGGCAGAGAUCACAGUGGUCUUUUAAAAUCUAA